AACGAACGCUGGCGGCAGGCCUAACACAUGCAAGUCGAGCGCACCCUUCGGGGUGAGCGGCGGACGGGUGAGUAACGCGUGGGAACGUGCCCUUCUCUGCGGAAUAGCCUCGGGAAACUGAGAGUAAUACCGCAUACGCCCUUUGGGGGAAAGAUUUAUCGGAGAAGGAUCGGCCCGCGUUGGAUUAGGUAGUUGGUGGGGUAAUGGCCCACCAAGCCGACGAUCCAUAGCUGGUUUGAGAGGAUGAUCAGCCACACUGGGACUGGGACACGGCCCAGACUCCUAGGGGGGGGAGAAGGGGGGAAUUUUAAACAAGGGGGGCAACCCGAAUCUAGCCGGGCCGGGGGAGGUAGGAAGGCCUUAGGGUUUAAAAGCUCUUUCAGCUGGGAAGAUAAGGCGGGUCCCAGCAAAAGAAGCCCCGGUAAAUUCCGG
rnacentral:rRNA from 1 species